ensembl:lncRNA
AGCGGACAGGGUGUGGGUUGGAGUUGGAGAAGUGGGAUGGAGAAAUAGAAGCAUUCUACGUAAAGGCUAAUUAUAAUAGGUACAGUAGGCAGGGCACGCGGGCAAGUGUUUGCUCGCCUCGGGAUGAACGGAUGUAAUGUGCGCAUCCAUGCAGCGCAGCACAGGAGAGGGAGGGUGAAGGGAGGCAGAGCAAACAUUCACACGCGCAGCGUUUAUACAGAAGCAUAAACCAAAAAACAAAACAAAAACAACAGCAACAAGAAAACCCCCACCAAAACUCAGUGACCGCACAGCUGGAGCCAGAAACAGAUCGGGGGAGAAAGCACCAAACCGCUGGCUGAACUUUCCCGGUGAUUACGCAUGUGGACUCUCACGGACUGCGGCGUGGACACAGGGACAAAAUAGAGGAAAUCAUACAGAAGCUGACUACAGACCCUUAUCCACCAACCCCACUGGGCUCCUCACUGAUGAAAAUACAUCAUCUGGAAAAUAUUUCCUACAAAUCAUGAAGGACAAAGGCUUCAGAUCUUUUCAGUGGAGUAUUGUCUGAAGAUAAAGUAAACGGAGGCAUUUGCUCUGGGGCUGAGGAUCGCUGUCUCUCAGGAAGGAUUACUUUGGCCCCACAGGGACCUGCGGCUCCCGCUAUGCUCAGAAUGAGCCUACUGCAGGGGGCAAUUCUACACUUUAAAUUAGU